CGUGCAGGCGGUUCGCUAAGUCUGAUGUGAAAGCCCUGGGCUCAACCCAGGAAGUGCAUUGGAAACUGGCGAACUUGAGUACGGGAGAGGGAAGUGGAAUUCCGAGUGUAGGGGUGAAAUCCGUAGAUAUUCGGAGGAACACCAGUGGCGAAGGCGGCUUCCUGGACCGAUACUGACGCUGAGACGCGAAAGCGUGGGGAGCAAACA
rnacentral:rRNA from 1 species